CAGUAGCCGCGGGAAUGCGUAGGGUGCAAGCGUUAAUCGGAAUUACUGGGCGUAAAGCGUGCGUAGGCGGUGAGUUAAGUCUGCUGUGAAAUCCCCGGGCUCAACCUGGGAAUGGCAGUGGAUACUGGCUCGCUAGAGUGUGGCAGAGGGGGGUGGAACUCCGCGUGUAGCAGUGAAAUGCGUAGAUAUGCGGAGGAACACCGAUGGCGAAGGCAGCCCCCUGGGCCAACACUGACGCUCAUGCACGAAAGCGUGGGGAGCAAACAGGAUUAGAUACCCGCGUAGUCCCUGUCUCUUAUAC
rnacentral:rRNA from 1 species